UGGGGGAUAUUGCACAAUGGGGGGAACCCUGAUGCAGCGACGCCGCGUGAGUGAAGAAGCGCCUCGGCGCGUAAAGCUCUGUCAGCAGGGAAGAAGAUGACGGUACCUGACCAAGAAGCCCCGGCUAACUACGUGCC
rnacentral:rRNA from 1 species